UACAGAGGGGGCAAGCGUUGUUCGGAAUUACUGGGCGUAAAGUGCGCGUAGGCGGCCCGCUAAGUCGAACGUGAAAUCCCCGAGCUCAACUCGGGAACUGCGUCCGAUACUGGCGGGCUUGAAUCCGGGAGAGGGAUGCGGAAUUCCAGGUGUAGCGGUGAAAUGCGUAGAUAUCUGGAGGAACACCGGUGGCGAAGGCGGCAUCCUGGACCGGCAUUGACGCUGAGGCGCGAAAGCUAGGGGAGCAAACGGG
rnacentral:rRNA from 1 species